rnacentral:rRNA from 1 species
UUUUCCUACGGGACGCAGCAGUGAGGAAUAUUGGGCAAUGGAGGCAACUCUGACCCAGCCAUGCCGCGUGAGUGAAGAAGGUUUUCGGAUUGUAAAGCUCUUUCGGAUGUGACGAUGAUGACGGUAGCAUCUAAAGAAGCCCCGGCUAACUUCGUGCCAGCAGCCGCGGUAAUACGAAGGGGGCAAGCGUUGUUCGGAAUUACUGGGCGUAAAGGGAGUGUAGGCGGUUUAGUAAGGUAGUGGUGAAAUCCCAGGGCUUAACUUUGGAAUUGCCAUUAUAACUAUUAGACUAGAAUUACA